rnacentral:rRNA from 1 species
GACGAACGCUGGCGGCGUGCCUAAUACAUGCAAGUUGAGCGCUGAAGGUUGGUACUUGUACCAACUGGAUGAGCAGCGAACGGGUGAGUAACGCGUGGGGAAUCUGCCUUUGAGCGGGGGACAACAUUUGGAAACGAAUGCUAAUACCGCAUAAAAACUUUAAACACAAGUUUUAAGUUUGAAAGAUGCAAUUGCAUCACUCAAAGAUGAUCCCGCGUUGUAUUAGCUAGUUGGUGAGGUAAAGGCUCACCAAGGCGAUGAUACAUAGCCGACCUGAGAGGGUGAUCGGCCAAAUUGGGACUGAGACACGGCCCAAACUCCUACGGGAGGCAGCAGUAGGGAAUCUUCGGCAAUGGACGAAAGUCUGACCGAGCAACGCCGCGGGAGGGAAGAAGGGUUUCGGAUCGUAAAACUCUGUUGGUAGAGAAGAACGUUGGUGAGAGUGGAAAGCUCAUCAAGUGACGGUAACUACCCAGAAAGGGACGGCUAACUACGUG